rnacentral:rRNA from 1 species
CACGUAGGCGGACAUUUAAGUCAGGGGUGAAAUCCCGGGGCUCAACCCCGGAACUGCCUUUGAUACUGGGUGUCUGGAGUCCGGAAGAGGUGAGUGGAAUUCCGAGUGUAGAGGUGAAAUUCGUAGAUAUUCGGAGGAACACCAGUGGCGAAGGCGGCUCACUGGUCCGGUACUGACGCUGAGGUGCGAAAGCGUGGGGAGCAAACA